rnacentral:rRNA from 1 species
AGCGAACGCUGGCGGCAGGCCUAACACAUGCAAGUCGAACGAACCUUUCGGGGUUAGUGGCGGACGGGUGAGUAACACGUGGGAACGUGCCUUUAGGUUCGGAAUAACUCAGGGAAACUUGUGCUAAUACCGAAUGUGCCCUUCGGGGGAAAGAUUUAUUGCCUUUAGAGCGGCCCGCGUCUGAUUAGCUAGUUGGUUGAGGUAAUGGCUCACCAAGGCGACGAUCAGUAGCUGGUCUGAGAGGAUGAUCAGCCACAUUGGGACUGAGACACGGCCCAAACUCCUACGGGAGGCAGCAGUGGGGAAUCUUGCGCAAUGGGCGAAAGCCUGACGCAGCCAUGCCGCGUGAAUGAUGAAGGUCUUAGGAUUGUAAAAUUCUUUCACCGGGGACGAUAAUGACGGUACCCGGAGAAGAAGCCCCGGCUAACUUCGU